UCGGCUCAUCCUCUUUCUGUCUCUUUCUCUCUUCUUCUUCUUCUUUUUUUCCCCGACCUGCACACAUAACAACUAUGGCGAAGCCGACGUUCUUCGGCAAACCAAUCCCAUUAAACCAUCACUAUCGUGACCUAAUCUUUCCCGUGGAGCUAACCGUUGUCACUUUCCUUCGAGAUUUGAAGCCAAGAUAUCGAUUUGAGAAGCUCUAAUGACUAAUGAGGUCCGAACUUCCCGGCAAGUUCCUGCCCUUUAUCGGUGAAGAUAGAAGAGGGAGGAGUUUUCCCUAUUUUUCGGCGAGAAAACAGAGGGCUGAUAGGGGAUUUCGAGAGAACGGCAAGGAAUCAACCCUCGAGACCACCAUUAUCGUGUUCAUCUAAAUCCCAAUAGUUCUAAUAUGCCCUUGGAUCAGACGUGAAGAGUAGGCCAGAUUUCGACAAAUCUAGAUAUGGGUAAACCCGGUACCGAUAUGAUUCCAACCAACGGCGACAUAAUAUUUUACCGCCGGCGACCAUUACCUAUACCAGCGCGUGACGGCGCAUGCCAACCUCCUGCCGGUGCGUGCGACGGCGCAUGGCAGCGAACCUGGGUUUUCGAACGCUUGAAAUGGUCGUCUUCGCAGUAUUCAAUUGGUUUACUAACUAGAUAAAGGUUCUUUUACUUUGAGUGUUAUCCUCAGGAUUACAAAAAGCAUGCAGGGCAAGGUGGUUACAACCAUACAGUGUAUCUAUGAGUGAGCUUUUGCAUUUAAACAAUAUUACAUAGGAAACGUUAACAAAAAGCUUCUGGUAUUGUUCAUUUUAACGAAAAAUCACAUUUUUACAUCAAAAUUAAAAUUCAAAGUUUUCAAGUUUUUUUUAAUUAAUUUUCCUUAUUACAUAUGUGUGUGUAUAUAUAUUUUUUUGGUACUGGUUUUAUAUGAUGCUUUUAUAUCAUUCUUUGCUUUUACUUAGAAUAUGCAAUUAAUUAUUAUGACGACCACGAUGUGAUUUAUGAGCUUGAGAACCUCUAUUGAGAAAUGUUUACUACCGUGCAUUAUUUUUGAGAAUUGCAAAACUUUAUAUGCUCUUAUGAUUUGUGACGCUUGUGAUUUUGAGCGUUCGAAAGCCCAUGUCCACAGCCAGGCGCCGCCGCACGGCAACGAACGUGGGUUUAUCCAUGCAUGUUUAUAUAUGACUUAUCCGCUCAUCAUGUAUGCUUACACAGUAUGUAUAGUACUGUCUGGAGCUAGGACCAGCUUCAUGU